GGGGAAUUAGCUCAUCGGGUAGAGCACCGGCGUGGCACGCCGGAGGUGGUCGGUUCGAGACCGACAUUCUCCACAA
rnacentral:tRNA from 1 species